GACGAACGCUGGCGGCGUGCUUAACACAUGCAAGUCGAGCGGUAAGGCCCCUUCGGGGGUACACGAGCGGCGAACGGGUGAGUAACACGUGGGUGACCUGCCCUCAGCUCUGGGAUAAGCCUGGGAAACUGGGUCUAAUACCGGAUAUGACUCCAUGACGCAUGUCGUGGGGUGGAAAGCCUUGUGCGGCUGGGGAUGGGCCCGCGGCCUAUCAGCUUGUUGGUGGGGUGAUGGCCUACCAAGGCGACGACGGGUAGCCGGCCUGAGAGGGCGACCGGCCACACUGGGACUGAGACACGGCCCAGACUCCUACGGGAGGCAGCAGUGGGGAAUCUUGCGCAAUGGGCGAAAGCCUGACGCAGCGACGCCGCGUGAGGGAUGACGGCCUC
rnacentral:rRNA from 1 species